GACUUUCACAGUGUCAGUUUAGUUACCUAAAUUUUAGGUAACUUUAGGUUAGUUACCUAAAGUCACUUUGUGACUUCAUCCUGAUAUAAAGGAACAAGGAAGAGAGUUGGAUUAGGAUAACUCACUAUGUCAUGUAUCCUCAGCAAUCAACAUAAUCAAAAUCUGUUUGGAGGACUACUGAUUUGUAUAAAGGAAGAUAACACUGAACAACCAAACAGGAAGUAAUCCAGUGAAUCUGGAACAGUGGUGGAAUUCAGAAGCAAGGCCAGCAACAUGUGAAAGAAGAUAUGUUGUCUUUACUCACAGUGGAGGCAUUUUUCUAGUUGUGUUUAAUUUGGCCUCCCUAUGGAUUCAGGACCCAUAACUCUUGUUCUCACUCAUCGUCUGGUCCAGUUCAGCACAGAGCUAGCUGCAAGUGACAACCUAAGAGAAAAGUCAGCGAGAACAGAGACCCAUCUCUUUGUUGACUGCCUUAAUCCCUAGAGCUGUGUUCUUCAAUUUGUUACUAUUUGCUACAAUUUUUCUGCCUAACAAGCAAGUUCUAUCCUGCCUAGGAGAGAAACUUUUAGUAAAUUCAUCUUCAUUCACUACUAUUCAGCUCAUGCUUUAAAAACUUAGAUAAUGCUGUCUGAAAUACUUAACUCCUGGUCAAAUGCAGCUGCUAUUUCAUUC
rnacentral:lncRNA from 1 species